AUUGAACGCUGGCGGCAGGCUUAACACAUGCAAGUCGAGCGGAGAGAGGUAGCUUGCUACUGAUCUUAGCGGCGGACGGGUGAGUAAUGCUUAGGAAUCUGCCUAUUAGUGGGGGACAACAUUUCGAAAGGAAUGCUAAUACCGCAUACGUCCUACGGGAGAAAGCAGGGGAUCUUCGGACCUUGCGCUAAUAGAUGAGCCUAAGUCGGAUUAGCUAGUUGGUGGGGUAAAGGCCUACCAAGGCGACGAUCUGUAGCGGGUCCGAGAGGAUGAUCCGCCACACUGGGACUGAGACACGGCCCAGACUCCUACGGGAGGCAGCAGUGGGGAAUAUGGGACAAUGGGCGCAAGCCUGAUCCAGCCAUGCCGCGUGUGUGAAGAAGGCCUUAUGGUUGUAAAGCACUUUAAGCGAGGAGGAGGCUACUUUAGUUAAUACCUAGAGAUAGUGGACGUUACUCGCAGAAUAAGCACCGGCUAACUCUGUGCCAGCCGCCGCCGUAAUAC
rnacentral:rRNA from 1 species